rnacentral:rRNA from 1 species
CCUACGGGUGGCAGCAGUGGGGAAUAUUGGACAAUGGGCGAAAGCCUGAUCCAGCCAUGCCGCGUGUGUGAAGAAGGCCUUCGGGUUGUAAAGCACUUUCAGUGGGGAAGAAAGCCUUGGGGCUAAUACCCUCGAGGAAGGACAUCACCCACAGAAGAAGCACCGGCUAACUCCGUGCCAGCAGCCGCGGUAAUACGGAGGGUGCGAGCGUUAAUCGGAAUUACUGGGCGUAAAGCGCGCGUAGGCGGUCUGAUAAGCCGGUUGUGAAAGCCCCGGGCUCAACCUGGGAACGGCAUCCGGAACGGUCCGGCGAGAGUGCAGGAGAGGAAGGUAGAAUUCCCGGUGUAGCGGGGAAAUGGGCAGAGAUCGGGAGGAAUACCAGUGGCGAAGGCGGCCUUCUGGACUGACACUGACGCUGAGGUGCGAAAGCGUGGGUAGCAAACAGGAUUAGAUACCCCAGUAGUC